rnacentral:rRNA from 1 species
GUGGGGAAUAUUGGACAAUGGGCGCAAGCCUGAUCCAGCCAUGCCGCGUGAGUGAUGAAGGCCUUAGGGUUGUAAAGCUCUUUCACCGAUGAAGAUAAUGACGGUAGUCGGAGAAGAAGCCCCGGCUAACUUCGUGCCAGCAGCCGCGGUAAUACGAAGGGGGCUAGCGUUGUUCGGAAUUACUGGGCGUAAAGCGCACGUAGGCGGAUAUUUAAGUCAGGGGUGAAAUCCCAGAGCUCAACUCUGGAACUGCCUUUGAUACUGGGUAUCUCGAGUAUGGAAGAGGUGAGUGGAAUUCCGAGUGUAGAGGUGAAAUUCGUAGAUAUUCGGAGGAACACCAGUGGCGAAGGCGGCUCACUGGUCCAUUACUGACGCUGAGGUGCGAAAGCGUGGGGAGCAAACAGGAUUAGAUACCCGGGUAGUCC